GGCUGUUAUUUUUUACUUACUUGAAAAAAAAAAAAAAAAGCUUGGGGCUAAGAUACCCAUCAUUUGACACCCAGGAUAAACUUAUCUUAUAAUGUCGUUUCGCAGAAAACUCGUCAGCAUGACAAAUAGUAAGGCAUGUUUGUGUAUUUUCCUUUUCUUCCGCUUUCCUGCUAAACUCCCAACAAUUGUGCUCAAUCAUUGCAUUGCUCGACACGUAAUCCUAUUUCACAGUGAAAUCCAGUUUGAAUGAGGAGCUGCAGGCAACAGACGGGCCCGGUGAGAUGUCAGAGACCUGGUCUGCACCCUUCAUAGGGAAUACGCCCGCCACCUGGAGGCCAACCUGGGCUCAAGUCAAAGUUUCCCCACUUUCAGAUGAUGUCAAUUAAAGUCUAUGAGCUUGUAGCCUGAAGUACUGCGUGUGGCCAGAUGUGUUUGCUGAGUGAAGAACAACUCUGAGCUUCUGCAGCCACUAGGAGGUGCUCUGAUCAAAGCAAACCUCUGAACACCUCACCAUGAACUCCUCUGGUGUGGGUAUCAGUAACCAUCCGUCAAACAUGGGAGACUAAUGUCUGACACCGAGAACAAGGUGUUUUCUUUGCUGCAAGUGUUUCCUCUACGGUGACGGGCUGAAAGGAAAGAAACGGGUCUAUUUCCAGCUGCUGUGGGUUUAGGACAUAUAGAUCGGAUCCAGCUUCAGGUCUGGAACAUAUCUAUCUUGUUUCAUGAAGCAAUCCUGCACCAUCUGUAUACCACAGCAACACUAGGAGGAUAUAAAUAUAUGAAGCACUUCCAGCUCACAGUGGACCAUGAGCUGCUCCGUGGCAGCGCAGUCAAUCACCGUGUCCCCUACUAAUCAACGUCUUAAGAGGAGAGGGCACAAUAACAGAGACGGGUCAGGAGGGAAGCAGGAGGGAUGACAGACACUGCCACUGG
ensembl:lncRNA